UACGUAGGGUGCGAGCAUUGUCCGGAAUUAUUGGGCGUAAAGAGCUCGUAGGCGGCCUGUCGCGUCGGAUGUGAAAGCCCGGGGCUUAACCCCGGGUCUGCAUUCGAUACGGGCAGGCUAGAGUUCGGUAGGGGAGAUCGGAAUUCCUGGUGUAGCGGUGAAAUGACGCAGAUAUCAGGAGGAACACCGGUGGCGAAGGCGGAUCUCUGGGCCGAUACUGACGCUGAGGAGCGAAAGCGUGGGGGAGCGAACAGG
rnacentral:rRNA from 1 species